GGAUGCCUACGGGGGGCAGCAGUGGGGGAUAUUGCACAAUGGGGGAAACCCUGAUGCAGCGACGCCGCGUGAGUGAAGAAGUAUUUCGGUACGUAAAGCUCUAUCAGCAGGGAAGAAAAAAGACGGUACCUGACUAAGAAGCCCCGGCUAACUACGUGCCGGCAGCCGCGGUAAUACGUAGGGGGCAAGCGUUAUCCGGAUUUACUGGGUGUAAAGGGAGCGUAGACGGCGCGGCAAGUCUGAAGUGAAAGGCAGGGGCUUAACCCCUGAACUGCUUUGGAAACUGCAAUGCUA
rnacentral:rRNA from 1 species